UAUUGCACAAUGGAGGAAACUCUGAUGCAGUGACGCCGCGUGCAGGAAGAAGGUUUUCGGAUUGUAAACUGCUUUAGAUAGGGAAGAAAAAAGACAGUACCUAUAGAAUAAGCUCCGGCUAACUACGUGCCAGCAGCCGCGGUAAUACGUAGGGAGCAAGCGUUAUCCGGAUUUAUUGGGCGUAAAGCGCGCGCAGGCGGGUUGCUAAGCGGGACCUCUAAUCUUGGGGCUCAACCUCAAGCCGGGUCCCGAACUGGCAGCCUCGAGUGCGGUAGGGGUAAGCGGAAUUCCCGGUGUAGCGGUGGAAUGCGCAGAUAUCGGGAAGAACACCGAUGGCGAAGGCAGCUUACUGGGCCGACACUGACGCUGAGGCGCGAAAGCUAGGGGAGCGA
rnacentral:rRNA from 1 species